UUUUUUUUUUUUUCUCCUGCAGCUUUCAGAGAAAUGGAAAAUUGCCUAUCUUCUAGUUUCUCUUCUUCACUUUUAUGUACAGGAAAGCCUGGUAAUCAAGGAAGGGCAGAAAACAAAGCUGAAGCACACACCCGUAAUUGCAAUUGCCUUUUAAAAAGGGUCACACAUCAUGAUCUGAUGUUUCUUCCAGUCAUUCUCACUUCUUGGCCAUUUUUUUUUCAUAGAGAUCAAUGCAAAUGGUACCAAGUGGUCUGAAAAAACAGAUAGUAAAUAUGGCGAUGUGAAACUGGCUCACCUGCCAACUGGCAAUUGAAAAAAGAUGAGAUCCUGAUUAGUAGAUGGGGCAUGGAGGAAUGGCAUGCUGAAUUGAUAAAAAUUUCUCAUUGAUGAUGUCCCAGUGGAGAAUGCUGUGACAAGUGACAAUGCAUUUGAAAAAUAUGGAGGAAACAACUCCUACAAAGGCAGCAAAGUUGGCUGGUUACUAAACUAAAUUUUAUUGACAACUGGCAGACAGAUAAUGAAGGACUCAGUGGUGUUAGCAAGAAGUCAAUGGCUAAUUGCAAGAGCCAGAAAGCCUUCAUGGGAUCUUACAAAUAGGCCUUUACCACCUACAGUGAAAGAGCAGAUAACACUGGGCUUUAGGCUGAAAAUCUAAUUGUGAGAGUCAUAGGGCUCUAAGACAUUAGAAUACUCAGCCAAGGCAGGAUUAUUGUAGAAAAUAUUCCUCCACCAAGACUCCGGUGGAGGAAUAUCUGGGAUCUUGAAAGCAGAGAAUCUGAAUGAAUGUUCUGGAGGAUGUUGACUCUGUAGACCCCUUUACCAUCUGGGCUCACAUAGGUGGCGCACUUUUCUGUAGUAUUAGCUAGUAUUUCUGCUUUGUUGGAAGAAGCAGUGGAAGUCUCUUUCCCAAAACUAUUUCCUCAGGAUUUGUUUCUACAUUCUUCCCUGAUUCUAAGACUUAGAGUUACAUCCUAACAUAAUCUGGCUAGGGAUCUACUGAGCCUGAAAAAGGGGGAAAGUGUUUAUACAAAUGAGAAACUGCAAUAACUAGUUAGCAUAUACUGGCAAGAACCAGGAAAGUAUUACUGGAAUUAAAUUUUGAGUAUGCCUAAUCAAAGAACAGGGUUGUAAGUCUGGAUGAAUAAGAAUUAUUGGCUUGGGGCACUCUAAUGGGAACCAGUAUUUAAUGUCCUAGCAAGAAUCUUGGGGGAUGGAGCAAAUUAACCACUGGGUUAGUUCCUAGAAGCUUGGAAUAAACAGUGACUCACACUCAGGGAAAUAGACAUGCCUGAGUUUCCCUGGAUGAUGGUAGAGGAGGGAUUAAAAAGGCAGAGUAAAGUUAAUAUGUUGGAAUGGGUUUAUUAUGCAGAAGAUACAUCACAGAAUAAUGUUUCACAAGAAGGCUCAAGGAACACAUGAUUCACCAAGGCCACCAGUAAUGUGCUGGUGUGAAGAACACUAACAUUACUAAGAAGUAUGAUGGUACUUCUCCUCUGUAUAUCAAGGCUGAUGUGGUCCCAGAGCUGUGCUCGUUAUUCAUGGAGUUGGAGAAUGAAUAAUCAGAUGUAAGAAUGACCUUAUGGCAGCAUUUAACUUCUAGAAGCUAAGAGGCCACAAUUAAUGUAAUGACUGGUAACCAAGAAGGCUUGACCAGCUGGGAGCUGUGAAAUGUUAAUAGACAAUGAAAUAACAAAAGAAGGCAUAAAUGUAGGAGCAAAAAUUAAAGAGUGGUUCUUCAAUAAAAAGUCAUGAUCCUCUCUCAAGUGUUCAGACCCGAGGCCAUUUUUAUAUCUAGAAAACUUUGGGGAAGAAACACUUUGCAACAUCACUGCAAGUGUAUCUCUAAUUAUAUCCCUAAUUUUUCUCAAGGGAAUCUACAGCCAUUUAUACAUGUGAACUCAAACUGGGAAAAGGAGUCUAAACCCAGACACUUUUAGGACUAUGGGAAGCAGGUUCAGAGUUGGCAUUGAAAUCUAUAGACCCAACCAUCAUCAUGGUUCCUGUGUUGGCGUGGAUGUAUAUAAGGUCCAGAUAAUAAAUGAAAACCUGGUUCAUAAUGGGUCCACUGGGUCCCAGAUCCAUCUAGUCAUCAUCUCUCUAAUCCCCAAAUGCAUAAUUAAAAUCAGUCUAUUUGGCAAUUGGAUUAAUUGUUUCAUUCAUGGUCUAUAGAGGAAGAACUAUCAUUAGACGAGGACGACCAAAUGGAAACUUCUGAAACUGCCUUUCUAGGACAACACAGUAAAUAGAAAACCCUAUGAAAUCCCAGCGGGAUGGCAGGGAUUAAUGCCACGAAUGAAGACUUAAACCUUGCAGAGCAGUGGUCUCUAUAAUAUCUUUGCUUAAUUAGCCAGUCUGACCCAUUUGCAAUUUGUCAGACUGGAGAAUGAUUUCAGACUACCAUGGACUUACCCAAAGAGUACACCCUGUCACAGCUACUAGGUCAGAUGUGGUAUUACUCCUUGAACAGAUUAAUAAUACCUUGGGUACAGACUACGCCACUACUGAUUUGGUGUAUGUUAUUUUCUCUUCCAAUUAAAAGAGGAUCCAAAACAGUUUGUAUUCAUAUGAAACAAACAGCAAUAUUUAGUGACAGUGUUAUCUCAGGGCCUUCUUAACACUCUGGCCCUUUGUCACAACAUAGUUCCAAGAGAUCUGGACUGCAUAAGCAUUCUACCAAAAAUGGUACUGAUCUAUUACAUUAAUGAUAUCAUGCUGAUUGGACACAAUGAGCAAGAAGUGACUAGUUAACUGGAAGCAUUGGUAAAACACAGGUAUUCCAAAGCAUGAAAGUUAAAUCCUGUGAAAAUUUAGGGAAUAGUCACAUCAGUGAGAUUUAUUAGUUGGUGGCCAAGAGUAUGCUUGAAUAUUCUCUCCAAAGUAAGACACCUUUCUGCAUUUUGCAUACACUACCACCAUGAAAGAGGCCAUCUAUGGUGCCUGGCGUACUCUUUGGAGGCUGGAGGCACAUAUAGCAAGUGACGCAGAGGCUACCCACUUAAAUAGAACCUGGAGUGGGAAAGGCUACUGCAGUAAUUUUAGGCAGUAGUGCAAGCUGCCUUGUCAUCUAGCCUAAGCAAUUCGUCAAGUGCUGUGAUGUUACAAGUGUUACUGGUGGGAAAAGAUGCAGUGUGGAGCGUGUGGCAACACCAAGUGAGAGAGUCACAGAGUAGUCCCUAGGAUUCUGGAGCAAAACCAUGCCAUUCAAAGCAAAUAAUUACAUGCCCUCUCAGAAAGAGCACUUAGCUUUGCUGAGCCCUAAUGGGGGUGGCUUAAUCCUGGACAUAAAGUGACCAUGCAUCUGUAACUUUCUAUUAUCAUCUGGAUUCUUUUGGGCCCACUACAUCAUAAAAUUGGUGGGGACAACAUCCGUUCAUUGUAAGAUGAACAUAGUACAUCUAAGAUCGAGUCUAAGCAGGACCAGAGGGCAUUAGUAGAUUUUUAUGUCACAUAUUGCCAGUUCUGUUCCCCUGACUUGCACCUAUAUCAAUAUGGGAGAUCCAGUAUAACCAACUCUAAGGGAAGGGAAAAAGCCUGAACUUGAUUUAUGGAUGGAUAAGUGAGUUCCUGGAUGCAAGCCAGAACUGGAUGUUGGCUGCAGUGGAGCCACUUUCAGGGGUGAUCCUGAGAGACAGUGGGGAGAAAAAAAAUCAUCCCAUGAGUAGUGCCAAGAGGAGUGCACCAAGUUAUGUACUUUGUAUCAAAGACAAGUGGCUUGUGAUAUUUAAUUUUAAUGUGUUAACUUGUCUGGGCUAGGGCAUGCCCAGAUGGGUGAUUAAAUAUUAUUUCUG
ensembl:lncRNA Novel transcript